UUUGAUGGCGGCCGGCGCACGGGUGAGUAACACGUAUCCAACCUGCCGAUGACUCGGGGAUAGCCUUUCGAAAGAAAGAUUAAUACCCGAUGGCAUAGUUCUUCCGCAUGGUAGAACUAUUAAAGAAUUUCGGUCAUCGAUGGGGAUGCGUUCCAUUAGGUUGUUGGCGGGGUAACGGCCCACCAAGCCUUCGAUGGAUAGGGGUUCUGAGAGGAAGGUCCCCCACAUUGGAACUGAGACACGGUCCAA
rnacentral:rRNA from 1 species